CCUACGGGAGGCAGCAGCGAGGAAUAUUGGGCAAUGCCCGAAAGGGUGACCCAGCAACGCCGCGUGGAGGAUGAAGUCCUUCUGGACGUAAACUCCUUUUAGAGGGGACGAAAAGCCCGAUUUGUCGGGAAUUGACGGUACCCUCAGAAAAAGCACCGGCUAACUACGUGCCAGCAGCCGCGGUAAUACGUAGGGUGCAAGCGUUGUCCGGAUUCACUGGGUGUAAAGGGUGCGCAGGCGGGCUCUUAAGUCAAAGGUAAAAUCUCUCGGCUUAACCGAGAAAUUGCCUUUGAUACUGAGAGCCUUGAGUACGGGAGAGGGAGAUGGAAUUCCAGGUGUAGCGGUGAAAUGCGUAGAUAUCUGGAGGAACACCGGAGGCGAAGGCGGCUCCCUGGCCAUGGCCUGACGCUGAGGUGCGAAAGCCAGGGGAGCGAACGGGAUUAGAUACCCUUGUAGU
rnacentral:rRNA from 1 species